rnacentral:rRNA from 1 species
GAUCGGUAGGGGUUCUGAGAGGAAGGUCCCCCACAUUGGAACUGAGACACGGUCCAAACUCCUACGGGAGGCAGCAGUGAGGAAUAUUGGUCAAUGGGCGAGAGCCUGAACCAGCCAAGUAGCGUGAAGGACGACUGCCCUAUGGGUUGUAAACUUCUUUUAUGCGGGGAUAAAGUUCGCCACGUGUGGCGUUUUGCAGGUACCGCAUGAAUAAGGACCGGCUAAUUCCGUGCCAGCAGCCGCGGUAAUACGGAAGGUCCAGGCGUUAUCCGGAUUCAUUGGGUUUAAAGGGAGCGUAGGCCGCCUUUUAAGCGUGUUGUGAAAUGUAGGGGCUCAACCCCUGCACUGCAGCGCGAACUGGAGGGCUUGAGUACACACAAAGUAGGCGGAAUUCAUGGUGUAGCGGUGAAAUGCUUAGAUAUCAUGAAGAACCCCGAUUGCGAAGGCAGCUUACUGGAGUGUAACUGACGCUGAAGCUCGAAAGCGCGGGUAUCGAACAGGAUUAGAUACCCUGGUAGUCCGCGCGGUAAACGAUGGAUGCCCGCUGUUUGCCAUUUUGGUAAGCGGCCAAGCGAAAGCGUUAAGCAUCCCACCUGGGGAGUA